UGGGGAAUUUUGCACAAUGGGGGAAACCCUGAUGCAGCGACGCCGCGUGAUUUAGAAGGCCUUCGGGUUGUAAAAAUCUUUUCUAUGGGAAGAAAAUGACAGUACCAUAGGAAUAAGGACCGGCUAAUUACGUGCCAGCAGCCGCGGUAAUACGUAAGGUCCGAGCGUUGUCCGGAAUCAUUGGGCGUAAAGGGUACGUAGGCGGGUAAGCAAGUUAGAAGUGAAAUCCUAUAGCUCAACUAUAGUAAGCUUUUAAAACUGUUCAUCUUGAGGUAUGGAAGGGAAAGUGGAAUUCCUAGUGUAGCGGUGAAAUGCGCAGAUAUUAGGAGGAAUACCGGUGGCGAAGGCGACUUUCUGGCCAUAACCUGACGCUGAGGUACGAUAGCGUGGGUAGCAAACAGG
rnacentral:rRNA from 1 species